GGAAAAAACCCUUCAGGAAGUAACACCAUCACUGCUGUGAGAAUAUAGAAAAUCACCCCAAUCAUCUGCCAGCUGUGCAUUUAUUUUAACAACCGAGCCGUUUUCACAUAGCUGGUUUCUGUGACUUAAGCACGCUUUACUCACUGGGUGCGAGAAAUUCAAAGCAAGAUGAGAAGAGAAAGAAAAGUGAAACUCGUAGACACAUAAAACGAGGAGAAGCACAGGAAUGAGGAAAGCGUGUAAAUAAGGACCUGUAUCUCAUGAUGCCCUCCUGUAACUCUGUUAGCCGACUAACAUCCUUCAAGGCUUUCCUGAUUCUGGUAUCCAGCUUUCUUCUUCUUCAUGACGGGCAUUCUUGAUAUUCAGGAUUUCUGCUGAGGGGGCUCAGUGACUAAUUUGCUGGACCUGGAUGCCCAAGGAUCUUUCAUAACCACGACACUGCUUCAGCGACUGGCAGGAUUCACAUGUUUGCAUCAUCCUUGCACACUACUGUGUCACUGUUUCCUGAUACGGAGGUACAUUUAGCAUUGCUUUCAUAUCCUCCUUAGAACCAGCUUGUUCAUUUAUUUCCUCUGCAAUGGACAUUUGUUUUUAGUCUAUGUCUUUUGACUCAUUUGAGAUAUCUUACUAUCUCCUGAUCUACUAAAUAGAGGCCAUCCCGGGCUUUCCAUUGAUGCCUGAUGUGUUUGGGUGGUUUCUUAUAGCUUCAAAGAGGAAGGAAAUCAUAAAAAAAGUUCAAUGGAAAGAUUCUUUUGUACUCGGUUCUGAGGACGAUAUAUCCACAUGAGUCAUUGUAUGGAAGUUCAUUCAGUCCAUCAUAUUGAGCCUUUUAUAUUAUUUUCUGAUUUUUUGAUGCUGAUUUUCUGCAAAGUGAAACUUCAUAAGUCUGUACAGGUUUUGCUUUGUGUAGCCACAUGUGGAGUUUCUGUGCAUUGUAGGCAUGUUAAUGAUUAAAUGCUGCACAUCUUU